GCGCCCGUAGCUCAACUGGAUAGAGCACCGGUCUUCGGAACCGGGGGUUGGGGGUUCAAAUCCCUCCGGGCGCG
rnacentral:tRNA from 1 species